AAAUUAGAGCUUGAAUAAAAGUAUUUCAUUUACAUUGAAAAGAAAUUGAUAAUCCAAUUAAUUUAA
rnacentral:tRNA from 1 species